CUAACGAUCGUUUCCUUCACAGCGACUAACUAGCGUUUCUUUCGCAGUAACUAACAAGGGUUUCUUUCAAAGCGACCAUGCAGCGACUAACAAGCGUUUUUUUCACAGCGACUAACAAGCGUUUCUUUUUCACAGCGACUAACAAGCAUUUCUUUCAGAGCGACGAACGAGCGUUUCUUUCAGAGCGACUAACGAGUGUUUUUUUUUUACAGCGACCUUCUUUUCCACAGUCUCCGGUGGGCAAAUGAGUGACAAUGUUCGAACUCUCUUCAAAGUCUCGGAAUGGCAGCCCGAGGUUAGCUGGAUCAAAACAUCAAAGGUUAAGUAUCUGAGCUUAGGCGAUGCAUACCACCAUCGACUGUGGUCGUGCAAAAGAUUUGGUAAUGUAUCGGUUGAUAUGUAGGUUAAACUUUACUUGUGAAGAACUACUACCAAAAACUGGACCCUAUAAAUAGAAAAGCUACGACAAGAAUGUUGGAGAAUCAUGAACUAAUCUAAACCUUAGUUUAUUAUUAAUUUGGAAGGAAAGUGAAACAUUCAACAAAACAAAGAAAACGACGAAGUUCAACUUCUCUUCAGAAGUAAAGGCAGUUGUAACCAGCAGUUUAAAUAAUAGUACCAUUUGAUAUUCUACAACAGCAAGAUGGAAAAACCGACCAACCACCGGGGUAGAACAACCUUAACAACCACUUAACUUGCUUUCACAAAAUUGUCCUGGGAUCAAUCCAAACAAAUUGACAUCCUUCUGGAAAUAGUGUUAGUCAGCUCUUAUUGCAGUUUAUAACAAAGAUAUGUAAAAUGCUAACUUCAACUAUAUGUUCCCUCAGUUGAGCAGUCUCCUUUGGAGUGGUUACUACAACCGGACCUGUUUGGAUGAGCAUCGUUGGAGGAAACGGGGGAGAGCCGUCUCUUGUGGAGCUGUGACUACAACCCAGACCCAAGUGCGAAGAGUCGAAACAGUCGGCAGAUUGAGAGGAUGGCCUCUGGUGAUAACCUACAACCAAUCUUGAGGCUACUAUCCAUGCUUUUCGGACAGAAUGGCAGAAAGGACUGUCAAGUUAGUGCUUUGAGUUGAUUCGAUGAAGUGAUGUCCAGAUGUUGAGGCUAAAUGACACUGGAAAGUGUACCGCCAACUAAGAUGAACAGUCUCUUGUGGAGUGUUGACAACCGAAGCCUGUUUGGAUGAGCAUCACUGGAGGGUACAGGUAGUGAAGACAACAACUGAACAUGAUUGGAUGAGCAUCGACGGAUAACGCAGGAGCAAAGAGUCAACAACGGAAUGCUUGAUUGAGAGGAUGCCUUUUGGAGAUGACACACACCCCAAUCUUGAGGCUAUAAAUAAUCAAUGCUUUUUGGACUGAGAUCCUCCACCUGAAGGUCUGCGUCAAGUCUAGCCAGAUGACUCUCAUAGUUACAGGUUUUUAUUGAGUUGAGCAAUCUGAAUGCUACAAUUGAACCUGUUUGGAUGAGCAUCAUUGGAGGAUGGAGUGCGACUAUAACUGGACCGGUUACAGGUGCAAAGAGACAACACACUGCUUGAUUGAGACGAUGCCCUCUGAAGAUGACAUACACCCAUCUUGAGGCUAAUCAAUGCUACUAUCUGAGGGAGGACGACGUCAAGUCUAACCUUGUGAUUCUCUGCUUAACUCUUAAAGUGACUUCAGGAUGUUGAGCGUAACCAACGUCUCUUGGACUGUGUGCCACCAGCAGAAGGACUUCGUCAAGUUUAGCAAGAUGAAUCUCCGCUACAAGUUGGACUAACUUUGCUACACAUGCGCGGUAACUAAUGCUUUUUGGAAGGUCCCCAUGGAAGGAAGACUGUCAAGUCUAGCCGUGAUAUACUGUUCAACUGUUAAAUGUGAGUAAAGAUGUUGAGCCUAACCAACGCUUUCUGGAGUGCGUGCCAUCAGCUGAACGACGACGUCAAGUCUCUCCACUUCAAGUACAACUUGCAGUGUGAUGUUGGCGCUACAUUUGUAACUAAUACUUUUUGGACGGUCGCCAUAGAAGAAAGACUGUCACUGGAACAAUCUGGACAAUGAUGGCGCCAUUUAUGAACUAUAAUGAAAAGGAGAGGACCAUCUUAGUCUGUGUCGAACUUACAGCCAUAGCUAUGUAUUUGGCUGUUGCGAUGGCUUCAUGUGUUGCUGCAAGUACAUGUUGUCAUGGCGAUCAAGCCACAUCCACAGUCACUACCUUAGUAACGGCCUUAGAUUAGUAUUUACUCAAUUUGCUUUUCUUGACCCCAUCAAACUCCAAUCGUAUUGUACGAUGCAGCUCUGUAUUCUGGCAUCAGUUGAUUUGAUUAAAAUUGGCAUGCCCUGCCUCAUGCCAAGCAGUGUUUGUUCAUCGUGGAAAACAAAACUCAUUAAAUUCAAGUACAAUACUCAUUGGAUUUUGAUGGUCAGUGUAAUAAUAUGUGCGCAUUUAUGAAGUGUGUUUUGGGGACAAUAUUUAAAUGCUAGUUACCACUUUGCUCAGAAAUGUUUGAAAUCAUGGCAAGAAAA